CCAUGUGGUAAACAAUAUAUUGGCCGUACAUGCAGAAAACUAAAAACAACAAACGGUGAGCAUGUAAGAGCCAUAAGGAAAAAAUGUACUAAUCACGGAGAUAGACUUACAAUUUUAAGACAGAGAGAGUCAUAUUGGAUCUUCAAGAUGGGCACUUUGUACAAUGGUGGACUAAAUAAAGAUUUAGACUUAGCUGCUUUCUGAUUAGUGGUGCUUUUUAUUCCCCAGUUUAUAAAAGGAUACUUGUCAUUAACUUAAGAGAAAUAUAUGAAUACACAAACUACAG